CACGGGGGGAGCAAGCGUUGUUCGGAAUCACUGGGCGUAAAGGGCGCGUAGGCGGGCUGUCAAGUCUGGGGUGAAAUGCCGCGGCUCAACCGUGGAAUUGCCUUAGAUACUGACGGCCUCGAGGGAGGUAGGGGCGUGCGGAACUGUAGGUGGAGCGGUGAAAUGCGUUGAUAUCUACAGGAACUCCGGCGGCGAAGGCGGGUCUCUGGGCCGAUACUGACGCUGAGGAGCGAAAGCGUGGGGAGCGAACAGG
rnacentral:rRNA from 1 species